UAUUUUGCCUGAAAGUUUCUAUUAGUUUUCAUAUUUUCCAUGAUUUGGAUAUAGUGUUGAAAGGUAACUCUUGUACUUCCGUACUUGCUCUUACUUCUCUACAGUACUCUCUGGACGAGUUGGAGGAGAUGAUGCUGUGUCUGCAACAGUUUUUCUCUGUGCUCAGCAACAUGGAGGAGCAGCUCUCUAAAGACCAGUCUGCAGUUUACAGUGUUCUCUCUGACCAGGACAGGGAGAAGGUUCGGGACAUAGAGGAGCUGAGGCGGGCAGUGAAAAAGGAGGCUGCAAAGCUGGAGAUACAGUUGAAUGAACUGUCCCAUCACUAUGAUGAUAGCUUGAAAAUGAAGAUGCACAGACUCUUGGAUGAGCAGUCUCAGCUCUGCUCUCAACUCAGAGUCUUUCUACCUGGAACGGUGCCCGAAAAUAAGACAGUCGCCACUCAGUGCUGUCUGCUGCCCUGGACUACAACGGCUGAUGUGCAGAAUGGCCACGCUUCCUAUUUAACCUGGAACAUGGACUAUGCCAGACAGUCACCUCCUGAAUCAGAGAGCACCUUCAAAGGCAUCAGCUGUUCCCCCACUAAGGCAGACAAGCUAGACAUAGUGGGCAUCCUCCAGAGACUGAAGGAGUCUUUGCGUCACUCUUUGAACACAGAAUCAGUGGAAUAAAGAAAACCCCAGUUAUUCUCCGCCCUGUUUCCCUGCCAGCCAACCUUCCUGCGCUCCUUCAUACCGGCUCUCGGAGACCAUGCCUGCCUGCCUGCCCACCUGCCAGCCUACCGGUCUGGAUAUCACACCCGCUUUACACCUGAAUGCACCAUUAAGAAAUAAACCUUUUCAAGGAAAAAUCAGAAUAAAUGACUGGAGAAACAUGACAAAUGUGGAUGCCUUCACCCAGGUGGACAAACAUCAGUCAUGCUCCAUGGCAUGUAUAAAAUACUGAGUAGGCACAGUUGAAACCGAUUUUGUAUUGAGAUGGCAGGAAGAAAAUGUGAGACUUUCAUUGUGGUGGCACAGAUGGCAGGAGCUUCUGUCACAAAGACUGUUCACCUGGCUAGUGUUUAAUAGGAACAGUGACCACCGUAACAUCUACAUUUAUAUUAAUGGGGAAAAAAACAUCGAUUAUAGGGUCUGUAAAUGGGGUCGACAUCAGGCAUUUGAUGACUGUGAUGCUUUUCCAUCAGUUUGAUAUGUAAGGAAAACCAGAUGAGCAACUUUUUCUCUGAUGCUGAUUGAGAAUGUCAAAGCAGCGUUUGACUUGGAUCUGGCGACAAAGCUGCAUGAAUCUGGGCGUACAGGUGGUCGAGUGGUUAGAGAGCAUGCCAUAAAUGCAGUUGACUCAUGUUCAAUUCUGGCCAGAGGUCCUUUGCUGCAUGUCACAUCCCCCUCUCUCUCCUGUGUUUCCUCUCUGUCUACUGCUAAUAAAGGUGUCUAUGCUAGAAAAAAACCUUUAAAAAAAGCUGCAUGAAUCUGGACUGUGAAUGUGACUUUUUGACGUGUAGAAGAACACAGCACAUAAAUUAACAUUAAAUACUAACUAAUCCUGUUGUGGUGAAUAAGGAGUUUUUAAUAAUCAUUGAAAUGAUCAUCCUCAUGCACAAAUGCACAUGUUGACGUAGAGAUACACACAACAUUUCUGCUGCUGGGGGACUGCUGCAAGCAACAUCAUUAAUAUUUUGGCAUUCAAGACACUAUUGAUCAGAACGAUAUUUUUAUGACCCGCCUUGCCUGACCCAUGGUCUGAGAUCCACACACAGGGAUGCAGAGCAGCGCUCCUCCUCCUCCUACAUUAUGUUAUGCCUAAAACACACCUAUGACUAAUGAAGAGUCUAAAUAGAACCCUUUCCUGCUUUUGUUGGCUCUUCCGGUUAACACCAGACUUAUGGGAGGUAGCCGGCAUGAUGUGGUGAGACCUCUUGAGAGCAGCUCCCUCCACUACAGAGGGGAGCUGUUCAAUUGGGUCUGGGGAGGAGCGGGUUUUCAAUGGGAAAGGGGGUGUAUAUAGGGGGCCUGGAUCCUCUGGUCCUCUGAAAGCUGGUCCUCCCAACCCAGCCCAGACCCUGAGUACCCCCAGACCCCGGGGGCCAGAGAAAACCCACAGUACAAAAAGGUAGUAAUAAUCAAAAAUAAAAAUGUAAAAAAACGAAUAAUAAUGAUAAUAAUAACACUUGUUAUUAUUAUUAUUAUUGUGAUAGAUAAUUUUUUUUAAAAAAAGGAUAAUAAUUCAUCAAAAGGGGAAAAGAAGGUGGAGGAGAGAGAAGAGAAAUAUAUUCACAUAUGCAUACAUAAAUACAGACACACACACACACACACACACACACACACACUGUACUAAAAAAGAAAGAGAAGAUAAAUAAAUGAAUAAAAAAUAUAAUAAUAAACAAAAAAUAGAGAUAACAAUAUAUCAAUAGCUUUUUGACUGAUAGUAACAGGGAUGGUAAAUAACGGAUGAUAACUAAAGAUACAUACAUUCAAACAUAUAUACGCCCCCAGAGUGCACUUACACAGACACACAUCCCACACAUCCAUGCAGCAGCAUUUAGACAUUCAUGUAAAAUAAAUUUGAGCAAUGUUUUGGGGGGUCAAAACAGCUGUAUAAUUAAUUUCAUCUACAUGACAAUUAUACCUUUAAAACUGCUCAAGUAUUAUCAUCAGCUCAAAAAUGUGUUAUGUAAGUUAUGUUAUGUAAGCAAAUGAAAACAUAUAAGUUUGUUGUUUAAUUUUAAGGAAACACUUCACUGAGUGUUGAAUAAUUACUCCCUCUCCAUCUCAGUCAAAAUUUUAAUUCUAGCUUCAGCAGUUUGUCCAGAUGGGCAGGGGGUGUCUGUGCAAGAUAACAGAUGCAGGGAAGAGAGGCAGGCUCCUCCUCCUAGCUUCAUUGUCGAGAGUUACACUGCUCCACUGUCUUUGAGACACUGCUGACAGUGAGGUAAGAACACUCUUAUUUGUACCUUCAGUUUAUUUUUAUUCCUCUUUCAGCUGAUGCUGUAUAUGCUUUUUCUUUUCUUUUUCUUUGCUGUUCUCUUAUUUAUUGCUGCCAAAUCUUUAACCACUUUGGUUUUCUUGGGUACGUGUUAUUUACCAUGCCCACAGUCAUCCUUGCUCAUUAGAAAAAGCAUGUCAAAUAAGGACCAUAAAUCUUGCACUUACUUGAAAAAAUGUUGUAACAAAUUAUUUUUUUUUUUGUCAGGUUAAGAGGCAAUGAUUGUUUUCUGUUUGAACAUGAGGCAGAUGUUCGGUUGCAGUCCCCCAACCGAAGUGCUUCAUCCUUUGUUAGUGUGUGCUGAUGAAUAAUGAAUGUAUGUGUAUGUGUGUGUGUUAUGUGAUCUUUGCUGAAAGCCUAGAGGGCCUCAGAGAUGACAACUGGCUGUGUGAGGUCGACCCUGGAGCCUGAACAUCGACUGAUGAUACAGGAGAGCAUGAAAU
rnacentral:lncRNA from 1 species